CUGACUUCAGUCUUCAUACCACCAGUCAUGUGUUCAGGUGUUUGUGCCAUCAAUACCUUUUCUUCCUUGGGGUUAGCUAUUAGCACCCUUAAAUGACACUUUUCUUUUCCCUUGAUGAUUCUUCUUGCAACUGUACUCAUCUUAGAGGGGUUAUCCAUUUGAGAGCUCCACAUGUAGCAGUUGUUGUUGGUCCUGAUUCCUUUCAUAAUUACUCCACUGUCUUUGUUCAUA
rnacentral:lncRNA from 1 species